UGCUUUGCUAGAUGUUGUUGGAGGGGUGAGUCUAAAGGUGUGAGUCUGUGGUAUGUCUUUGUAUAUUGUAGCUGUGAUAUGUGACAGGUGACUGGGUAUAGGAGUAGUAGACAGAAAAGUGACACUGUGAGGCCAGCUAGUGCAAACAGCAUCAGACCAGUGGCACAGCGAUCCAGAGAACUCAGAAUUUCAAGGAUGUUGCACCAAAGUUACUCCAGGAAGCUUUAUAAAAAGACCACUCCAAACACAGGAAAAUGCCCCUGGUGAUAAUGCCGCUGAGAUUUAGAGCAUUAAAGCAAUCUCAUUAUCAGUUUACAUCCCCAGUUGGAAAUCGGAGACUGUUCAGCACAUCAAACAGCAGAGCGGGGGCAUGUAACGUGCAGCCCAAGGGCCAGAGGAGACCUGCUGCGUCAUGUAAUGUGGGCUCCAGCUGCCCCCGUGCUGGAGCUGGAGGGUGAGGACAGAACGGCAACGCUGCUCUUUGGCACCGCUAAUGAACUUGAACCGCAAUAAAUUAUUUCCCGUCUGCAUAAUGUGGAGAGAUAAAGUGCAACCAAAUACGGUUACAUGUGCUUAUAAUAAAUGUAUGUAGUUUAUAUGCAAGUUGGAUGUGGCCCUUGGGCUCUGGGUGAGUAACCUGGGUCACCUUCGGGCUUGUGGAAGGUGAGUGUCUUUGCGCUAAUGUUGGCACUGCCAAGAGCUAGAGGCCAGUGUGCAACAUGGGCCCGCGGUUCCCUUSCUUUAGAAGGAGUAACAGAAACCCCUUCAGCUCAACUUCUGAUCUGAAUCCUUGUCUGUGUGAACAAGAGAGGAGAGAAAGACUCUCCCGUUGCUUUGAAAGUAACUGCAUAAAUUCUUGCUCCCUGAAACCACCUGAGAAACCACGUGUGACUCCAMCACCAUUAUAUCUGUUAGGUGAAACAAGACUUCAUAAGGGAUCACUAAAUAACAUUGUGUUGUGGAAUUUUUAUGCUGUGGAAAGCAUUUUAAUUAUUUUAAUCAUUGUUUCUGAGUUAUUGGGAAAUAAACUCCAAGUCUAUCAUUAUUGCAUCCARCUGGGCAAAUGACAUAGGAGACUGCUAUGUUUUUAUCAGACACAGUUUGAACAAAGAUCUAUGGUAAUUUCAAGUUCGGAGGGUUAUCCUGUGACAAAAGUCUAAUAAUGCAGUCAUUAGCAAGAAAUUACGUUACAGUGUCUGUGGGACUUUAAUUUGGUGAAAGCAGAAUUUCUUUGUUGGUAAUUUCAUCUUGAUGCUACUUCUAUCUAUUCAGCUUUUUUUUUCCCCCCUAAAAUCAGCAGUAAUAUGGUAGUUAACCUUUCUUAAUAUUACUUGAGAAGAUAAUACUGAGAUACAGCCAUACAAAGAAUCAAAAUUUGAAACUUUAUAUUUUAUCCAUGGUGGCUAAAGUUCAGCACAACUUUGACCAUAUUCAUUUUCUCAGAUCUUACCUUGAAAAUGGCGAUAAAGACCUUGAAAUUAUAACUGAGGGUAGACUGGCUGACAUAUACAUAAUGUAAGGAUUCUUUUUAUAUGGAAAAGAGGCACAUUUAUGUAUUUCCAAAGCAUKUAUGUCUACUUCAUUUACUUUCAGAAAAGCGCAAGAGUUCUAAGGUCAUUUUUAUUCUCUCCUUUGUGAUACAGCUAAUAUUCAACAGUGAAUAGGGGGCAUUAUGCGAAUGCGUCUCCAGAAAGAUGCACAAACAGAUUAUUUAAGGUAGUCUUCCAUUUAUUGGGUAAGAUCUCAGUGCGUAUCACCCUUCCAUAAUCUCUGGUUUCCCUUGAGAGGGAACAAGCAUAUGGACAAGAAAGGGUCUGUUUUGUGCCAUGGACUGUGAGGGAGUCAUGGAUAACAGGUACCUUGCAUUUGUAUGUSCUGGGAAUUUGUGUUACCCUACCCUUAAUUUUGGAGCAGCACAUCAAAAGAUUAGAUAAAUUUGUAUUUGUAGGUUUUUAUUUGUCAUAAGUCACUCCUUCGGUGUCUCCUAAAUUGCAAUUGGCUUAGUAAAUUCAUAUUAAAAAAAUAUAUUUUAUUUUAUAUUUAUAAAUAAUUAUAUUUAUUACAUAUAUGGGAUUUCACUUGUUAGCUGUUGUUUAAUGUCACAUGGACUGAAAAAGUUGAAUUUUCUGAACAUAAAAACUCAAAUUUUCAUCUGAUUGAUUGAUUCCAGGAGCUCACACCAGCUGUAGGGAGUCAGUUAGACCCAGGAGUUGAUCUGAUUGCCUCUAUUACAGGAUUCAGUGAGAAUGGGAGUAGUUCUAGUGUAUUAUGGACUGUGAAUGAGUGUAGAUCCUGUGUUGUACUAAAUUCCUGUUGAUCU